CAUGUAGGCCUAAGCAGAGUUGGACGGUGACUUGGACAAUGGAUAUGGAUUUGUUUAUACUGCCUUGUGUUAAUAAUGUCCACUGUAGUGAUAAAAGAGUUAUCAGCUCAGCGUCAGGUCACCUGUGAGUGAGUGGAGUUUCGCUCUGCCGAACAAAUACCGACAAGCUGCUUCUAUAGAAAUCCUUUCAACCAUUCUGCCUUUGGCAAAACUGUCUCCGUGAUGACAAGACACACAAAUAUUCAUUUCGCGCCCGAAGAGAUUCAUUCUUAAAAACGUGCUAUAUUAGAGGGAUAUUAACACCUUUUUAUGAAGCAGAAGUGCUGUGCACUUCAGUCCACUGCGGUAUUGAAACGAUUUCACCCCCGAACUUUCUAUGGUCUUUGGCAUACAGCUAUGGCAGCUACACAAACCACGGACAACUGAAGAUUGCAGUUUGUAUUACAUCAGCAGUAAGGGAUGGAGGCGGAGCGGAGUCGUGCUAAUAAACUAAUGGAGGAAAAGUGUGACACUUGCUGAACAGGCAGGGGUGUCAGCGUUAAAACGGAGCAGGUAAAAUCCCUCACAUCAACCGCCUUUCCCGGAGGGGAAGAAUCUUCACUUCACUUCACGAGCCCUGGAGCGCUUGCUUUCCCUUGUUUAUGAAUCGACUGAUAUUCCCAAAGAAUUAAAAAUUACACAGCCCUAGAGAUUCCCCUAUUGACACAUGGAAGAUCAGCCGUUAAAGAUCUAGAUAGACAAGCAUCUACAGCCUACGACUAGCCUACAGUCAGUUACGCCCAAUGCAUUUAGGGUACUAGACAAAAGAAAAAUUUAUAUGGACGUGCAUCGUACUUCAGCGUUGGUACAUAGCGAAUAUUUCAGGUGUUUUCACCUUUCUAUGGAGACAUCAUCUAAACGAAACGAACAAUAUGUUGAUCGAGAAGAGCUUGCAGCAAGAGAGACUGUGUAAUGUAAACGUAUAAGACACUGCAGCAGAUCAUGCCGAGAUUUGAUUUCUGCUUUGAUUGUUGACACCGGAAAACCCGUGUCUCUUAAACUGUGCUGCAAUGAAGGAUACUAAUAAUACUUCGCCGGAUGCAACGCUUUGGUAUCCGUAAGGUUAACUGUAUUGAACAAUGUGUUGGAGAAGACGCUUUUGACUACGAGCAACGCGUCAGUGUGUUAGUUGAGAAGAGUGUUACCAUUAAGGAGCACGUCCGUAUAAAAUGCAAAAGAAGGAAAUUGUCUUGCUGUCCGGCACAAUACUAAUGCUUUUUCUAUGGAUAUGCAACAGCUAUUUCAUCUCUCUCAAAAUAAAUUGGAAAAUAAGGGAGGAUCAUGACACUUCCUCACGAGUGAGAGAUAUGAUAGUUCUUCAGACCUCGCAGCACUAUAAUAAUCCGCUCCGCAUCAUGUGGAAGACAAAUACUACGUUUGGUAGGGGAGUCGUUGGGAUUCAGGGUCCACGAAUUCCAAGGACAACAACACCGUCUAAACUUGUUGAUUCAAACUGAUUUGUCCAAUUAGGAAGAAAAGAUUUUGAAGGCCUUUCAAGUUCAUAGCACUUUCGGGACAGGAAUGUGCUGGGGUGUAGCGGCGGCACGGAUAAAUUAUAGCUUAGGGCAAUUUUACUGCAAUAUGUUAAACACUGGAAUGGAAUUUUUGUUU